rnacentral:rRNA from 1 species
AUUGAACGCUGGCGGCAGGCCUAACACAUGCAAGUCGAGCGACCGGCGCAGGGGUGAGUAAGACGUAUCCAAGCUGCCCUGUACUCGGGGAUAACCUUUCGAAAGAAAGAUUAAUACCCGAUAUAAAGGAUGGUGGUGCGUUCCAUUAGGUUGUUGGUGAGGUAACGGCUCACCAAGCCUGCGAUGGAGAGUGGUUCUAAGAGGAAGGCCCCCGGCAUUGGAACUGAGCCACGGUCCAAACUCCUACGUGAGGCAGCAGUGAGGAAUAGUGGGCACUGGGCGCUAGCCAGAACCAGCCAAGUAGCGUGAAGAGUGUUGGCUUAUGGGUCGUAAAUUUCUUUGAUAGAAGAAUAGGUAUUAAAUGAAUAAGGAUCGGCUAACUCCGUGCCAGCAGCCGCGGUAAUAC